rnacentral:rRNA from 1 species
UACGUAGGGCGCAAGCGUUGUCCGGAAUUAUUGGGCGUAAAGAGCUCGUAGGUGGUUUGUUACGUCUGCUGUGAAAACCUAGGGCUUAACCCUGGGCCUGCAGUGGAUACGGGCAGACUAGAGGUAGGUAGGGGAGAAUGGAAUUCCCGGUGUAGCGGUGAAAUGCGCAGAUAUCGGGAGGAACACCGGUGGCGAAGGCGAUUCUCUGGGCCUUACCUGACACUGAGGAGCGAAAGCGUGGGGAGCGAACAGG